UACGAAGGGGGCUAGCGUUGCUCGGAAUCACUGGGCGUAAAGGGUGCGUAGGCGGGUCUUUAAGUCAGGGGUGAAAUCCUGGAGCUCAACUCCAGACUGCCUUUGAUACUGAAGAUCUUGAGUUCGGGAGAGGUGAGUGGAACUGCGAGUGUAGAGGUGAAAUUCGUAGAUAUUCGCAAGAACACCAGUGGCGAAGGCGGCUCUCUGGGACGGUACUGACGCUGAGACGCGAAAGCGUGGGGAGCGAACAGG
rnacentral:rRNA from 1 species